rnacentral:rRNA from 1 species
AUUGAACGCUGGCGGCAUGCCUUACACAUGCAAGUCGAACGGUAACAGGUUAAGCUGACGAGUGGCGAACGGGUGAGUAAUACAUCGGAACGUGCCCAGUAGUGGGGGAUAGCCCGGCGAAAGCCGGAUUAAUACCGCAUACGACCUACGGGUGAAAGGGGGGGAUCGCAAGACCUCUCGCUAUUGGAGCGGCCGAUGUCAGAUUAGGUAGUUGGUGGGGUAAAGGCUCACCAAGCCGACGAUCUGUAGCUGGUCUGAGAGGACGACCAGCCACACUGGGACUGAGACACGGCCCAGACUCCUACGGGAGGCAGCAGUGGGGAAUUUUGGACAAUGGACGCAAGUCUGAUCCAGCCAGGCCGCGUGCGGGAAGAAGGCCUUCGGGUUGUAAACCGCUUUUGUCAGGGAAGAAACGCUCUGGGUUAAUACCCUGGGGUAAUGACGGUACCUGAAGAAUAAGCACCGGCUAACUACGUGCCAGCAGCCGCUGUAA